UACGAAGGGUGCAAGCGUUACUCGGAAUUACUGGGCGUAAAGCGUGCGUAGGCGGUUCGUUAAGUCUGUCGUGAAAGCCCUGGGCUCAACCUGGGAAUUGCGAUGGAUACUGGCGAGCUAGAGUACGGUAGAGGAUGGUGGAAUUCCUGGUGUAGCGGUGAAAUGCGCAGAUAUCGGGAGGAACACCAGUAGCGAAGGCGGCACUCUGGGCCGGAACUGACGCUGAGGAGCGAAAGCGUGGGGAGCGAACAGG
rnacentral:rRNA from 1 species